rnacentral:rRNA from 1 species
CAGGGAAUCUUGCGCAAUGGGCGAAAGCCUGACGCAGCGACGCCGCGUGCGGGAAGAAGGCCUUCGGGUUGUAAACCGCUUUCAGGGGGGAAGAAGCGAGAGUGACGGUACCCUCAGAAGAAGCCCCGGCCAACUACGUG